CCAACAGAGUAUGCGUCCUGUGGCUGAGGGCAUCCCUGGGGGGAGCUCCUCUGAUCCCCCCCACCCCCCAGGAUAGAAGUGCCUUUACAGUAUAAGAGUUACUGAUGGCGUCAUCGCCCUACUUGAACCAGAUGCCCUCACCAACCUCCAUGCAAUUGUAACAAUUCAAAAGAUGCAAAAGGAUGCUUUGGAGAUCCAAAUUUUGGAACAUAAGUUAUAGG